UACGGAGGAUCCAAGCGUUAUCCGGAAUCAUUGGGUUUAAAGGGUCCGUAGGCGGUUUUGUAAGUCAGUGGUGAAAGCCCAUCGCUCAACGGUGGAACGGCCAUUGAUACUGCAAGACUUGAAUUAUUGGGAAGUAACUAGAAUAUGUAGUGUAGCGGUGAAAUGCUUAGAGAUUACAUGGAAUAACCAAUUGCGAAGGCAGGUUACUACCAAUAUAUUGACGCUGAUGGACGAAAGCGUGGGGAGCGAACG
rnacentral:rRNA from 1 species